UGCCGGGGAUAGAAUAGCGUGUUGACCUGUGCCUUUGGCACUUGCUGUGGCCUUUCUUACUGGAUCGCCCCAUCGCAGCCUUGACUGUUCAGCUCAAUUCAUUACUUAUUUGACAUGAAACAUUGUCAGUGAGUCUAAUGGAAAAUUCCACUAAAGAAGGAAAAAACAUCUCUAAUAUGGAACAGCGAGCUAUUGAUUAAAGCUGCCCUGUGCCCUCAGAGCUCCUUUCUUCGAUAAUGCCUAAAACAGAUCAAGGUUAACAUGGGUGUUACCUCUUAACAGUCCAAAUGUCGGGCUGGCUUUAAGUACAGAGGUGAUGGACUAAUGUCCCAACUGCCUCACGUGGACCACACAGGUGACCCCGAGGACUGCGGGCUGGGACAAGGCAGUCACUCUCACCAAGAUGCCACCUGGGACUCUGACCUUGUGCCUUGUGAUUGCACUGGGCCCGGCUGCAUCAUCCGGGAUCCUCUCCCCAUCUCAAGAGCCUUACUUCAAUCACAUCUUUUUUCUGCGGAA